CCGUGCUAGACGGGGAGCUAGCGGUGCCCUGAACCCGCAAUCCGCUCAAGCGGGGUCGAAUUCCUGCCCGAGGGCUGCGUGUUCGGGCCGCGCUCCCGCCACGCGGCGCUGACGCCCUGGUCCUGCGCGGCGAGGCGCCACGAACCUGGUCAGGUCCGGAAGGAAGCAGCCAUAAGUGGUCUGCCUCGGGUGCCGCAGGGAAGCCGGGGCCGAGCUAGCGAGCGCGGGGCAAGCCCGGGCGCGGGUUCGACGGCAGGUGCACGG
rnacentral:SRP_RNA from 1 species